rnacentral:rRNA from 1 species
GGGCCCGCACAAGCGGUGGAGCAUGUGGUUUAAUUCGAUGCAACGCGAAGAACCUUACCAGGGCUUGACAUACUACAAAUUCUUUUGAGAAAGAGAAGUGCCUUCGGGAAUGUAGAUACAGGUGGUGCAUGGCUGUCGUCAGCUCGUGUCGUGAGAUGUUGGGUUAAGUCCCGCAACGAGCGCAACCCUUAUUUUUAGUUACCAAUUCGUUGGGUUUUUUAGAAAGACUGCCGGUGACAAACCGGAGGAAGGUGAGGAUGACGUCAAGUCAGCAUGCCCCUUAUGUCCUGGGCUACACACGUGCUACAAUGGUUAAGACAAAGAGUCGCAAGCUCGCGAGAGUUAGCUAAUCUAUUAAACUUAGCCUAAGUUCAGAUUGUAGGCUGCAACUCGCCUACAUGAAGUUGGAAUCGCUAGUAAUCG